GGUUAAGUUAACAAGGGCGCAUGGUGAAUGCCUUGGCACUAGGAGCCGAUGAAGGACGGGACUAACACCGAUAUGCUUCGGGGAGCUGUACGUAAGCUAUGAUCCGGAGAUUUCCGAAUGGGGCAACCCAGCAGUUUUAAUCAACUGUUACCACUAGAUGAAUUCAUAGUCUAGUUGGAGGUAAACGCUGUGAACUGAAACAUCUCAUUAGCAGCAGGAAUAUAAAGAAAUUUCGAUUCCCUAAGUAGCGGCGAGCGAACGGGGAACAGCCCAAACCAAAGUGCUUGCACUUUGGGGUUGUAGGAGGACUGAACAUUUGAGUUACCAAAGAACUUGAUAGUCGAAGGAUUUGGGAAAAUCCGCCAUAGAUGGUGAUAGCCCAGUAGAUUAAAUCAAAUUCUCUCAGUUCAGGAUCCUGAGUACGGCGGAACACGUGAAAUUCCGUCGGAAUCCGGGAGGACCAUCUCCCAAGGCUAAAUACUACCUAGUGACCGAUAGUGAACCAGUACCGUGAGGGAAAGGUGAAAAGCACCCCGGGAGGGGAGUGAAAUAGUUCCUGAAACCAUGUGCCUACAAUAAGUCAGAGCGCGUUAAUGCGUGAUGGCGUGCCUUUUGUAGAAUGAACCGGCGAGUUAUGAUCCCGUGCAAGGUUAAGACUAAAAAGUCGGAGCCGUAGCGAAAGCGAGUCUGAAAUGGGCGUUUUGAGUACGAGGUUAUAGACCCGAAACCAGGUGACCUAUCCAUGUCCAGGUUGAAGGUGCGGUAAAACGCACUGGAGGACCGAACCCGUGUAAGUUGAAAAUUGCUGGGAUGAGGUGUGGAUAGCGGUGAAAUUCCAAACGAACUUGGAGAUAGCUGGUUCUCUCCGAAAUAGCUUUAGGGCUAGCCUCGGAAUUAGGAUCAUGGAGGUAGAGCACUAUUUGGACUAGGGGCCCGUCUUGGGUUACUGAAUUCAGAUAAACUCCGAAUGCCAUUGAUUCAUAUCCGGGAGUCAGACGAUGAGUGAUAAGAUCCACCGUCGAAAGGGGAACAGCCCAGACCAUCAGUUAAGGUCCCUAAAUGUAUGCUAAGUGGAAAAGGAUGUGGAGUUGCAUAGACAACUAGGAUGUUGGCUCAGAAGCAGCCACCAUUUAAAGAGUGCGUAAUAGCUCACUAGUCGAGUGAUCCUGCGCCGAAAAUGUACCGGGGCUAAGCAUACUACCGAAACCAUGGAUGCGACCAUUAGGUCGCGUGAUAGGAGAGCGUUCUAAGGGCGGUGAAGCAAGAUCGUGAGGACUUGUGGAGCGCUUAGAAGUGAGAAUGCCGGUAUGAGUAGCGAAAGAUAGGUGAGAAUCCUAUCCACCGAAUGACUAAGGUUUCCUGGGGAAGGCUCGUCCUCCCAGGGUUAGUCGGGACCUAAGUCGAGGCCGAGAGGCGUAGACGAUGGAUAACAGGUUGAGAUUCCUGUACUAGUUAAGUGCGUUUGAGCAAUGGAGGGACGCAGGAGGCUAAGAUGUGCAUUCUGUUGGAUUAGAAUGUCCAAGCAGUAAGUCUUGUGAAGAGUCAAAUGCUUUUCACUUUAAGGACAAGCUGUGAUGGGGAGCGAAAUUUAGUAGCGAAGCGUCUGAUGUCACACUGCCGAGAAAAGCUUCUAGUGAGUACUUAACUACCCGUACCGCAAACCGACACAGGUAGUCGAGGAGAGAAUCCUAAGGUGAGCGAGUGAACUCUCGUUAAGGAACUCGGCAAAAUGACCCCGUAACUUCGGGAGAAGGGGUGCUGAUCGCAAGAUCAGCCGCAGUGAAUAGGCCCAGGCGACUGUUUAUCAAAAACACAGGUCUCUGCAAAAUCGUAAGAUGACGUAUAGGGGCUGACGCCUGCCCGGUGCUGGAAGGUUAAAAGGAUGGGUUAGCUUCGGCGAAGCUCAGAAUUGAAGCCCCAGUAAACGGCGGCCGUAACUAUAACGGUCCUAAGGUAGCGAAAUUCCUUGUCGGGUAAGUUCCGACCCGCACGAAAGGCGUAACGAUCUGGGCACUGUCUCAACGAGAGACUCGGUGAAAUUAUAUUGUCCGUGAAGAUGCGGACUACCCGCGACAGGACGGAAAGACCCCAUGGAGCUUUACUGUAGCUUGAUAUUGAGUGUUUGUACAGCUUGUACAGGAUAGGUAGGAGCCAUAGAAACCGGAACGCUAGUUUCGGUGGAGGCGUUGGUGGGAUACUACCCUCGCUGUAUGACCACUCUAACCCGCACCACUAAUCGUGGUGGGAGACAGUGUCAGGUGGGCAGUUUGACUGGGGCGGUCGCCUCCUAAAAAGUAACGGAGGCGCCCAAAGGUUCCCUCAGAAUGGUUGGAAAUCAUUCGCAGAGUGUAAAGGCACAAGGGAGCUUGACUGCGAGACAGACAGGUCGAGCAGGGACGAAAGUCGGGCUUAGUGAUCCGGUGGUACCGUAUGGAAGGGCCAUCGCUCAACGGAUAAAAGCUACCCUGGGGAUAACAGGCUUAUCUCCCCCAAGAGUCCACAUCGACGGGGAGGUUUGGCACCUCGAUGUCGGCUCAUCGCAUCCUGGGGCUGUAGUCGGUCCCAAGGGUUGGGCUGUUCGCCCAUUAAAGCGGUACGCGAGCUGGGUUCAGAACGUCGUGAGACAGUUCGGUCCCUAUCCGUCGCGGGCGUAGGAAAUUUGAGAGGACCUGUCCUUAGUACGAGAGGACCGGGAUGGACAUACCUCUGGUGUACCAGUUGUGCCGCCAGGCGCAUCGCUGGGUAGCUACGUAUGGAUGUGAUAAACGCUGAAAGCAUCUAAGUGUGAAACACACCUCGAGAUGAGAUUUCCCAUUCCUUUAUGGAAGUAAGACCCCUGAAAGAUGAUCAGGUAGAUAGGUUAGAAGUGGCAGUGCGGUGACGCAUGAAGCGGACUAAUACUAAUCGGUCGAGGACUUAACCAA
rnacentral:rRNA from 1 species